GGCCGGCGGCGGCGGCGGGCGCGCGCCCUCACUCCCCCGUGCGGUGCUCGCUGCGUGUGAGCGUGGCAGGCCGCGUCCGUACCAUUGCCCUCGACAAUGAGGACGACGUGCUGGAGACGGCCACGGAUCUGGUGGAGGCGGGCAAGCGGAAGCCGCUGCUGUACUACCGCGAUCUCGACAAGUUCUGCUUUGACGUGGACCAGUGUGUGAUCGACUUGAUGAAGCUGGUCAAGUCGGGUCGGCCGGGCGCCACAAGGGUGGUGCGCUUAGUGAAGGCGGUCCGAACGGCGCUGGACCAGCAGCUCCUCAAACCCAAGCUGGAGGCACACGCGGCGUACUCCCAGGCGGCGGAGGAGCUGAGGAGAGCGGAGGACGAACAGGUGCUCAGUGAUUGGCUGAAACAGUCACUCCGUGCCGACUCCUCGGAGGAUGAGGAAUGAACGGUCGGAGGACGGUCCGCGUAGAGAACUUGCUGCAGUCUGCCGGAGAGGGGCGUUUGUCGUCGAGAUUUGAACUGGAGGUGUCAUGGCAUACGCGCUGCCAUCUGUGAAUAGGAAGUUCGGUACACUGCCAUCGAAUACACUGGCGAA